UUAUUUUUAUUUUAAAUAUAGUUAGGUUCAAUUUUAGAAUAAGUUUAAGUAUCCGAAUGUGGAGAGGUGUCCGAGUGGUUUAAGGAGCUGGUCUUGAAAACCAGUGACUUCGAAAGGGGCCGUGGGUUCGAAUCCCACCCUCUCCGCCAAAUGCCCAGAUAGCUCAGUCGGUAGAGCAGGGGACUGAAAAUCCCCGUGUCGGUGGUUCGAUUCCGCCUCUGGGCACCAAAAUAUGGCGGUAUAGCUUAGUUGGCUAGAGCGUUCGGUUCAUACCCGAAAGGUCAUAGGUUCGACUCCUAUUACCGCUACUAAAAUUUAAUGUGGGCCAUUAGCUCAGUUGGUUAGAGCGCCCGGCUCAUAACCGGUAGGUCUGGGGUUCGAGUCCCUGAUGGCCCACCACAUUAAAUUAAUUAAUAUAAAUUCGAGGUGUAGCGCAGUUUGGUAGCGCACAUGGUUUGGGACCAUGGGGCCGGGGGUUCGAGUCCCUUCACCUCGACCAAUAUAAGGUGGGUAUAGCUCAGUUGGUUAGAGCGCCAGAUUGUGGCUCUGGAGGUCGUGAGUUCGACUCUCAUUAUCCACCCCAAUUCAUAUGGUCUAUUAGCUCAGUCGGUAGAGCACCUGACUUUUAAUCAGGGUGUCCCGCGUUCGAGUCGCGGAUAGAUCACCAAAAAGGUGGCGACAUAGCCAAGUGGUAAGGCAGUGGACUGCAACUCCUUGAUCCCCAGUUCGAAUCUGGGUGUCGCCUCCAAAAUAUUCCAAGGUAGCUCAACGGUGGAGCAACCGGCUGUUAACCGGUAGGCUGUGGGUUCGAGCCCCACCCUUGGAGCCAAAAAAGCCGAAGUGGCGGAACUGGCAGACGCACAGGACUUAAAAUCCUGCGGGACUUACCUCUCGUACCGGUUCGAUUCCGGUCUUCGGCACUUAUAAAACAAUAUCGCGGAGUGGAGCAGUUGGCAGCUCGUCGGGCUCAUAACCCGAAGGUCGUAGGUUCAAGUCCUGCCUCCGCAACCAUUAAAAUGGCUCGUUGGUCAAGAGGUUAAGACACCGCCCUUUCACGGCGGUAACAGGGGUUCAAUUCCCCUACGAGUCACCAAUUAAAUAUGCGGGUGUAGCUCAAUGGUAGAGUUCUGGCCUUCCAAGCCAGCUGUGAGGGUUCGANUGCAAGACAUACAGGUCGAGCAAGGAUGAAAAUCGGACUUAGUGAUCCGGUGGUUCUGCGUGGAAGGGCCAUCGCUCAACGGAUAAAAGCUACCCUGGGGAUAACAGGCUUAUCUCCCCCAAGAGUCCACAUCGACGGGGAGGUUUGGCACCUCGAUGUCGGCUCAUCACAUCCUGGGGCUGUAGUAGGUCCCAAGGGUUGGGCUGUUCGCCCAUUAAAGUGGUACGCGAGCUGGGUUCAGAACGUCGUGAGACAGUUCGGUCCCUAUCCGUCGCAGGCGUAGGAAAUUUGAGAAGACCUGUCCUUAGUACGAGAGGACCGGGAUGGACGUACCUCUGGUGUACCAGUUGUUCUGCCAAGGGCAUGGCUGGGUAGCUAUGUACGGAAUGGAUAAGCGCUGAAAGCAUCUAAGCGCGAAGCCAACUUCAAGAUAAGAUUUCCCACCGCAAGGGUAAGACCCCAGAAAGACUAUCUGGUUGAUAGGUCGAAGGUGUAAGUGCAGCAAUGUAUUUAGCUUAUCGAUACUAAUAGGUCGAGGACUUGACCAA
rnacentral:rRNA from 1 species